CGGGAAAGGCGGCUGCCUAUACAUGCAAGUCGAGCGGACAGAUGGGAGCUUGCUCCCUGAUGUUAGCGGCGGACGGGUGAGUAACACGUGGGUAACCUGCCUGUAAGACUGGGAUAACUCCGGGAAACCGGGGCUAAUACCGGAUGGUUGUUUGAACCGCAUGGUUCAGACAUAAAAGGUGGCUUCGGCUACCACUUACAGAUGGACCCGCGGCGCAUUAGCUAGUUGGUGAGGUAACGGCUCACCAAGGCGACGAUGCGUAGCCGACCUGAGAGGGUGAUCGGCCACACUGGGACUGAGACACGGCCCAGACUCCUACGGGAGGCAGCAGUAGGGAAUCUUCCGCAAUGGACGAAAGUCUGACGGAGCAACGCCGCGUGAGUGAUGAAGGUUUUCGGAUCGUAAAGCUCUGUUGUUAGGGAAGAACAAGUGCCGUUCAAAUAGGGCGGCACCUUGACGGUACCUAACCAGAAAGCCACGGCUAACUACGUGCCAGCAGCCGCGGUAAUACGUAGGUGGCAAGCGUUGUCCGGAAUUAUUGGGCGUAAAGGGCUCGCAGGCGGUUUCUUAAGUCUGAUGUGAAAGCCCCCGGCUCAACCGGGGAGGGUCAUUGGAAACUGGGGAACUUGAGUGCAGAAGAGGAGAGUGGAAUUCCACGUGUAGCGGUGAAAUGCGUAGAGAUGUGGAGGAACACCAGUGGCGAAGGCGACUCUCUGGUCUGUAACUGACGCUGAGGAGCGAAAGCGUGGGGAGCGAACAGGAUUAGAUACCCUGGUAGUCCACGCCGUAAACGAUGAGUGCUAAGUGUUAGGGGGUUUCCGCCCCUUAGUGCUGCAGCUAACGCAUUAAGCACUCCGCCUGGGGAGUACAGUCGCAAGACUGAAACUCAAAGGAAUUGACGGGGCCCGCACAAGCG
rnacentral:rRNA from 1 species